CGUUUAACUAUUAAAAGUUUCGUUUUGGUCCCUUAACUUAUUUUUUGGUUUCGUUUUGGUCCCUUAACUCUUCCUCUGUCAACCACUUUGGUCCUUUAUGUUAGGAUGAAUGUAUUAGAGUUAAGGACCAAAACGAAAUCAAAAAAUAAGUUAAGGGACCAAAACGAAACCAAAAAAUAAGUUAAAGGACCAAAAGAGUAAUUAAGCCU
rnacentral:pre_miRNA from 1 species